rnacentral:rRNA from 1 species
GACGAACGCUGGCGGCGUGCUUAACACAUGCAAGUCGAACGGAAAGGCCUGCUUUCCCUUGUGGAUUGCGGGUACUCGAGUGGCGAACGGGUGAGUAACACGUGAGUGAUCUGCCCCCAACUUGGGUAUAAGCCUGGGAAACUGGGUCUAAUUCCCGAUAGGACUGCAGGGUGGUGCCUGUGGUGGAAAACGAUUUUCUAGUGGUUGGGGAUGAGCUCGCGGCCUAUCAGCUUGUUGGUGGGGUAAUGGCCUACCAAGGCGGCGACGGGUAGCCGGCCUGAGAGGGUGGACGGCCACAUUGGGACUGAGAUACGGCCCAGACUCCGACGGGAGGCAGCAGUGGGGAAUAUUGCACAAUGGGCGGAAGCCUGAUGCAGCGACGCCGCGUGGGGGAUGACGGCCUUCGGGUUGUAAACUCCUUUCGACCGCGAGGAAGCCACCUGGUUGGAAGGGUGGUGACGGUAGUGGUAGAAGGAGCACCGGCUAACUACGUG